rnacentral:tRNA from 1 species
UCCCUGGUGGCUCAGUCGGUAAAGAAUCUGCCUGCAAUGCUGGAGACCCAGGUUCGAUCCCUGGGUUGGGAA